UACGGGAGGCAGCAGUGGGGAAUAUUGCACAAUGGGCGAAAGCCUGAUGCAGCUAUGCCGCGUGUAUGAAGAAGGCCUUAGGGUUGUAAAGUACUUUUCAUCGGGGAGGAAAAACAAAACUAAUAAUUUUAUUUCUUGACGUUACCCGAAAAAGAAGCACCGGCUAACUCCGUGCCAGCAGCCGCGGUAAUACGGAGGGUGCUAGCGUUAAUCAGAAUUACUGGGCGUAAAGAGCACGUAGGUGGUUUUUUUAAGUCAGAUGUGAAAUCCCUGGGCUUAACCUGGAACUUGCAUUUUGAAACUGAAAUACUAGAGUAUCGUAGAGGGAGGUAGAAUUCUAGGUGUAGCGGUGAAAAUGCGUAGAUAUCUGGAGGAAUACCUGUGGCGAAAGCGGCCUCCUAAACGAAUACUGACACUGAGGUGCGAAAGCGUGGGGAGCAAACAGGGAUUAGAUACC
rnacentral:rRNA from 1 species